rnacentral:rRNA from 1 species
GACUCCAUGAAGCUGGAUUCGCUAGUAAUCGCGCAUCAGCCACGGCGCGGUGAAUACGUUCCCGGGCCUUGUACACACCGCCCGUCAAGCCAUGGGAGUCGGAUAUGCCCGAAGCCGGUGACCUAACCGCAAGGAAGGAGCCGUCGAAGGUGGAGCCGAUGACUGGGGUGAAGUCGUAACAAGGUACC